UAUCGCUGCCCUCCUGGGGCGUUUCCUCCCUAGACUUGGGCCGCUUGCGGCAAUGUAGGCGGCCCUUCUUUCUCGCGC
rnacentral:sRNA from 1 species